UACGUAGGGGGCAAGGCGUUGUCCGGAUUUAUUGGGCGUAAAGAGCGUGUAGGCGGCUUGACAGGUCUGCUGUGAAAACUCGAGGCUCAACCUCGAGAUGUCGGCGGAAACCGUCUGGCUAGAGUCCGGAAGAGGAGAGUGGAAUUCCUGGUGUAGCGGUGAAAUGCGCAGAUAUCAGGAAGAACACCUAUGGCGAAGGCAGCUCUCUGGGACGGUACUGACGCUGAGACGCGAAAGCGUGGGGAGCGAACAGG
rnacentral:rRNA from 1 species